AUGAGACUGUGAGCUGACAUUCUCCUUCCUUCUUCCUCCUCAGGAUUUACUGGUCUUAGGGACUCCUGAGGAUAUCUGACACUUCUCUUGAAAAUCUAGCCCAAGGUGCAAUUAUCAAUGCAGCUGAUACUCCUGGACAGAAAUGCAAGAAAUCAAACUAAUCAUCUACAUUAGGAAAACAAAGAGGAUGAAAAAUGCACAUUGCACAAACUCUGAUGGACAGAUAGAAAGGCAUUCUAAUUUGU